GGAAUAUUGGACAAUGGCCGAGAGGCUGAUCCAGCCAUGCCGCGUGCGGGAGGACGGCCCUAUGGGUUGUAAACCGCUUUUGUUGGGGAGCAAUAAGGUCUACGUGUAGACUGAUGAGAGUACCCAGCGAAUAAGCAUCGGCUAACUCCGUGCCAGCAGCCGCGGUAAUACGGAGGAUGCGAGCGUUAUCCGGAUUUAUUGGGUUUAAAGGGUGCGUAGGCGGGUGCUUAAGCGUGAGGUGAAAGCUCGGAGCUCAACUCCGGAACUGCCUCGCGAACUGGGUGCCUUGAAUGUCCGUGCCGUGGGAGGAAUGUGUGGUGUAGCGGUGAAAUGCAUAGAGAUCACACAGAACACCGAUUGCGAAGGCAUCUCACGAACGGAUGAUUGACGCUGAGGCACGAAAGCGUGGGGAUCAAACA
rnacentral:rRNA from 1 species